AAAUAAAUAGAAUUUAUAAACAUUAAAUCUUAACAACAACAACAAUAACAAACACAACAAUAACAACUGACAUUACUAAGUUACAUACAUGCUUUCCUAACUAACAUUAAACAUUUUAAUAAGAAAUUAGAAGAGAAGAGAUUACAUUAAAGAAUCAACCUUGAAACAUUGUUAUUCUCUUGAAGUUCAUCCUAGAAAAUGGUUUUGUACUUCAUACAACUACUUUCGUUAUAAUUUUUUUCACCACAUUAAGUUUACAUAUUACG
rnacentral:lncRNA from 1 species